CGCUGCGCCGCGCCUUGCUCGCUCUCGCUUUCCCCCGCUCGGCAGUCUGACUCGAUGGCCUCAAGAGAUCCCAAGCUGCGCUUUAACUGCGCACAGCGGGCAAGGUUGCGCCGAUCCGGGGCCGCUUGGCACUACUGUGCCUUCCUGGCGACUGCUCGGCACAUAUGCAUGCCCAGUUCCACCACGUGCCGGACGGCGGAGCUUGCAGAGAAGCCUCUACACACGGGAGCGCGGGCUCAGAGCUCACUCAAAGCGCACGCAAAGCCUCAGAUACCGAUCUAGGUAUCGCUCAGCAGUAGCGAACGUUCGACGCCGCUGUAGUCGCUACAGCGCUUUGCAAUAACGGUGGUGCUGCAUAAUGGUUAGAGUGUGGGACUAGGACCCCGAGACACCAAGAUUCCAAUCCCCACACUCUGCCAUGAAGUUUUGGGUGUAGCAUUGGGAACCAGGCACUUCCUCUCAGCCUUACCUCACAGGGCUGUUGUGGGAAUUAAAUGAGGAGGAGACUUAUAUGUGCUGCUUGGAAAAACCUAAGGUCGGAUAUAAAUGCUCUAGCCAUCCAACUGACAGCAACAUCUGCAGUGUUGAUCACUCCACACACUGGGGUGUUCCAGCAAAUUGGGGGAAGGCUUGCAACUUGUAGGGUGUUUCCAGGUGGCUGCUUAUUGUGGGGUGGCUGCUCCAAUGGCAGGCCUUCCUUAAAAACCUCCUAUUGAGUUUUUGUUACAUGCAAAAGCAUAUCAACACUGAAAUAAAGCAGGUAAGCAAUGAAGAGAAAGGAAAAAGGCAACACAGUGAAAUAGCAACAGCAAAUCAGCCUUCCUAACAAGCCUGGCAAAUCUGGAACUACACUGAGUGAGUGAGUGAGUAAGUGAAUGUAUUUCUAUGGGUUCGUACACAUUUCUGCUUGUCCCGCUCCUCUCCUUGGGAAAAGGAUUCACUGCUGAAAUGGAGCAAAUAUCAGUUGGUUUUUCUGCAGGUUGACGUUAGUUCCAAUACAGUGGUAAAGAGCGAGUUUUCCUGGAGAAAGUGGUUGGGGCAGGUAGAAUACCUCUCAGACCUGUGCACCAGUGGAAGUGUGAGCAAGCUCAGAAUUUCUUUCCAUUCAAAUGAAUUCCCAAAGCAGCUUACAGACCACAAGUACCGUGUAUUUCGGGUCUACUGGCCGCAAUAAAGUUCUUUUUGUGUGUGACAAUAAAUAGCAAGAACAUAAUGGAACAUUAAAGGUACAACAUAAGUCGUAUAAAUUAACACAUCAUCAGUGAAACAAUUGCAAUCUAUAAAACGCUAUUAAUAAACCAGCAACUAAAAAAUAAGCUGAACACCACAGCUACAGCAUAGGGCAUAUUAUAUGACUCCCCGUACUAGAUAAUCUGAUAAUGCUGAUGCUCCUGACUUAGACCUUGCUACAUUAACCCCUGUGCAAGUGUGCUCAUUCUCUGUGCCUAUUUUAUAGUUUGUUUUCCUCUUUUUUUCAAUUUCCACCUGCAGUUACAAUUGUUUUCUCUGUUCUAUAUACAGUCGUACCUUGGAAUCUGUUCCGGAAGUCCAUUCGACUUCCAAAAUGUUCGAAAACCAAAUCUUGGCUUCUCAUUGGCUGCAGAAAGCUCCUGCAGCCAAUCAGAAGCCGCGGAAGCCCCGUCAGACGUUCAGGUUUCAAAAGAGCGUUCGCAAACUGGAACAAUCACUUCCGGGUUUGCGGCGUUUGGGAGCCAAAACGUCUGACUUCCAGGGCGUUCGUGAUCCAAGGUACGACUGUACUUUAUAAAAUGAAAAUAAAUACUUUGAAAGGAAAAAUUAGACACAACAGCAAACCAGCAUACCCCCCAAAAAUCAUAUUUCCCCGAUUAUCAAAUGGUAUUGAAAUACGACAAUAAAGAUUGAGAAGCCAGAGGGAUUAAUAUAUUCAAAGAAAGGAAACAAAUCUGCAAUGGGAUUCUCAGGUUGAGCCACAUCCCCAGACCAUCCACCUGCAUGCCUUAUUUAUUUAUUUAUUUAUUUAUUUUGCAGCAGCCGUGCUUUGUCUGACUUCUAUAACACUGGAACUCAUGGGCAUCCAAUGAAACUGAAUGUGGGAAGAUUUAGGACAGAUACAUUUCUCCUUCACGCAAUGUGUAGUUAAAUUAUGCAACUCCCUCCCACAGGAAGCGGUGAUGGCCUCUAAUUCGGAUGGCUUUACAAGAGGAUUAGACAAAUUCAUGGAGGAGGAGAGGGAUGUGGAUGGCUACUAGCCAUGAUGGCUAUGCUCUGACCUCCAUUGUUGGAGGCUGCAAGGCUUUUGAGCACCAGUUGCUGGAAACUGAAGGAGGGGAGAGUUGCAAUGGCACUCGGAUCCUGUUUUCCCACAGGCAUCUGGUUGGCCACUGUGAGAACCACUGGCCUGGUAUAGCAGGCUCUUCUCACUUAUUCUCUUGUGUCCAAGGCUUGCUCAUAGGCUUCCCAUUGGAGAAGCUGGUCGGCUGCUGUGAGAACAGGUUACACCAUGGGUAGACAAACUAAGGCCCGGGGGCUGGAUCCGACCCAAUCACCUUCUAAAUCCGGCCCGCGGAUGGUCCGAGAAUCAGCGUGUUUUUACAUGAGUAGAAUGUGUGCUUUUAUUUGAAAGGCAUUUCUGGGUUAUUUGUGGGGCAUAGGAAUUUGUUCAUCCCCCCCCCCCCAAAAAAAAAUAUAGUCUGCCCUCCUCAAGGUCUGAGGGACAGUGGACAGGCCCCCUGGACAGUGGACGUUUGCUGACCCCUGGGUUACACUAGUGGCAGGAUCCAGCAGGCUCUUAUAUAUCACUGGCAUCAAAAUGCCAAGCUGCAUCUCCCAAUACCCCUCUUUAAAUCUAGAUUAAAUAUCUGCUAGGUGGAAACCAGUUACCCAGAUUUAAAUAUCUGUUAGUUAAGUGGAAACCAGUUACCCAGAGUAGUAGUGAUAUAAUAAUAAUAAUAAUAAUAAUAAUAAUAAUAAUAAUAAUAAUAAUAUAUUACUUAUACCCCAUCUACCUGGCCGGGCCUCCCCAGCCACUCUGGGUGGCUUCCAACAGGAUAUUAAAAACACAAUAAAACAUCAAACAUUAAAAACUUCCCUAAACAGGGCUGCCUUCAGAUGUCUUCUAAAAGUCAGAUAGUUGUUUAUUUCCUUGACAUCUGGUGGAAGGUCGUUCCACAGGGCGGGCACCACUACUGAGAAGGCCCUCUGCCUGGUAUCAAACAUGUUUCCUCCAGGCCAGUGUAAAUAAAAUAUAUCCUUUUUUAUUACUAAGGAGCUGUUUUAUGAAGCUUGUGAGGCCGGUUUGAGUCCAGGGAGUGUCCUGUCUUGUGCUCUUGGUACAAAAUUCCCUCCUCUGGUUUCCGUGCAAACUGUGAAGUAGGGUGUGAUCUCCCACUACUCCUAUAGUCCAGUGGCUUUCAACCAGUGUGUUGUGGCACCCUGGUUGAAUGAUGGUCAGGGGUGCUGCGGGCAACCCUGGCCUCCAUCUCUCUUUCCUUCCCUCCCUCCUCUGAUGCCCUCUCGGGUCUCUGCCUCCCAAAGGCUUGCGCAGCUGUUUGUUGCAGCAGCCCUGGCUACAAGCUUCCCAGACGAAUGGUGCCUCUGGGGCUGGCCCGGGGGUUCUGGCUGCCAGGAGCUGAAUAAGCAAGCAAGUGGGCGAGGGAGCCCAGCCAGCCAGUCCAUCAGCCCUAAUUUUAUGGCCUAAUUUUAUAUGUUGUAUUUUUAUUUAUAUUUUCUAGGAAAAACAUGCCUACUUGGGCUCGUUGUUUAAAUUUAUUCCCACUCUGUGGGCAAAACACACAAAACCUGCUUAAGUUUAGGUCCAUUUUUUCUUUGUUUUCUUUAAAAAUAUGAGAUAUGGAAAUGGGAAUACAAAUCUAAUGAAAUAUCUCUGUGACGUUUUCUUUUUUUCAAAAUCCAGAGAACAAGCAAGUAAGAAACAUUUGCCUUUUCGAAAUCCUCCUGGUAACUCAACCAAAAUUCAUCUGCAAGGUGCGUUUAAAUGCAAGAUUUUUAACUUGGGGUGGUGCUGUGUCUCCCCCCCCCCCUUCUUUCUGUCCACAAUUAAGCUACACAUUGACUUAGGAUCCCGUCUGCUCGUGAUUAUCCUAAAGAUGACCUCUUAGCCUUUCUAUUGACUGCUGCUCGUAUGGAGAUAGCGAGAUGUUGGAAAACUUGUGAUGGGCUGAACAUUGAUUCUUGAUAUGACCGAGUAUGGUCAAUAGCAUUGGCUGAGAAACUAACAUGCUAGGUGAGAGCAGCAAAGGGCAAACACAAUCCAUAUUCCUGUUGUUAGCCGCCCUGAGCCCGGCUUCGGCUGGGGAGGGCGGGAUAUAAAUAAAUUUUUUUAUUAUUAUUAUUUAUAACAUAUGGCAAAUGUUUAUUGAAUACAUAAAUUGUUCAGACUGUGGCAUGAAUCCACCCAGGACUCAUGGAAAAUGUGGUGUUUUCUCUUAGAGUAAUCAAAUGAAACUUUAACACAUGGCAUGAUAAAAGUAUUUUUGUCGGGAC